rnacentral:tRNA from 1 species
GCCCGGGUGGCUCAGUCAGUUAAGGGUCUGACUUCAGCUCAGGUCACGAUCUCGUGAGUUCGAGCCCCGCCUCGGGCU